rnacentral:rRNA from 1 species
GAUGAACGCUGGCGGCGUGCCUAAUACAUGCAAGUCGAGCGAACGGACGAGAAGCUUGCUUCUCUGAUGUUAGCGGCGGACGGGUGAGUAACACGUGGAUAACCUACCUAUAAGACUGGGAUAACUUCGGGAAACCGGAGCUAAUACCGGAUAAUAUUUUGAACCGCAUGGUUCAAAAGUGAAAGACGGUCUUGCUGUCACUUAUAGAUGGAUCCGCGCUGCAUUAGCUAGUUGGUAAGGUAACGGCUUACCAAGGCAACGAUGCAUAGCCGACCUGAGAGGGUGAUCGGCCACACUGGAACUGAGACACGGUCCAGACUCCUACGGGAGGCAGCAGUAGGGAAUCUUCCGCAAUGGGCGAAAGCCUGACGGAGCAACGCCGCGUGAGUGAUGAAGGUCUUCGGAUCGUAAAACUCUGUUAUUAGGGAAGAACAUAUGUGUAAGUAACUGUGCACAUCUUGACGGUACCUAAUCAGAAAGCCACGGCUAACUACGUGCCAGCAGCCGCGGUAAUACGUAGGUGGCAAGCGUUAUCCGGAAUUAUUGGGCGUAAAGCGCGCGUAGGCGGUUUUUUAAGUCUGAUGUGAAAGCCCACGGCUCAACCGUGGAGGGUCAUUGGAAACUGGAAAACUUGAGUGCAGAAGAGGAAAGUGGAAUUCCAUGUGUAGCGGUGAAAUGCGCAGAGAUAUGGAGGAACACCAGUGGCGAAGGCGACUUUCUGGUCUGUAACUGACGCUGAUGUGCGAAAGCGUGGGGAUCAAACAGGAUUAGAUACCCUGGUAGUCCACGCCGUAAACGAUGAGUGCUAAGUGUUAGGGGGUUUCCGCCCCUUAGUGCUGCAGCUAACGCAUUAAGCGCUCCGCCUGGGGAGUACGACCGCAAGGUUGAAACUCAAAGGAAUUGACGGGGACCCGCACAAGCGGUGGAGCAUGUGGUUUAAUUCGAAGCAACGCGAAGAACCUUACCAAAUCUUGACAUCCUUUGACAACUCUAGAGAUAGAGCCUUCCCCUUCGGGGGACAAAGUGACAGGUGGUGCAUGGUUGUCGUCAGCUCGUGUCGUGAGAUGUUGGGUUAAGUCCCGCAACGAGCGCAACCCUUAAGCUUAGUUGCCAUCAUUAAGUUGGGCACUCUAAGUUGACUGCCGGUGACAAACCGGAGGAAGGUGGGGAUGACGUCAAAUCAUCAUGCCCCUUAUGAUUUGGGCUACACACGUGCUACAAUGGACAAUACAAAGGGCAGCGAAACCGCGAGGUCAAGCAAAUCCCAUAAAGUUGUUCUCAGUUCGGAUUGUAGUCUGCAACUCGACUACAUGAAGCUGGAAUCGCUAGUAAUCGUAGAUCAGCAUGCUACGGUGAAUACGUUCCCGGGUCU